UAGGGAAGCACAUCAUCUCUUGAAGCUUCACUUCAACUUCACUACUUCUGUAGUCUCAUCUUGGGUAAAAGAGAACCCAGCCAACUAUGAAGUUCCUUGUGUUCGCCUUCAUCUUGGCUGUCAUGGUUUCCAUGAUUGGAGCUGAUUCAUCUGAAGAGAAAUUUCUUCGUAGAUUGAGAAGAUUCGAUGAAGGGAGGUAUGGCCCUUAUCAGCCAUUUGUACCACCACCACUAUACCCACAACCAUACCAACCAUACCAACCACAAUACUAACAAUAUCCCUGUUAAUAUCAUCAGUGACUGCAGGACGUGAUUACUGAGGUUUGAUUGGCAAAUACAACUUCUACAUGCAUAUUCUCAUCCUUCAUACCAUAUCACACUACCACCACUUUUUGAAGAAUCAUCAAAAAACAAUGCAAAUGAAAAACAGACUAUAAUUUACUGUGUACUCUUUGUUUCAAGAUACUUGCCUUUUUAAUUAUCAUUUGGUGAUGUAAUUGCAAUUUAAACUGUUAAGCUGUUUUCAGUGCUGUUUCUGAAUAAUAGAAAUCACUUCUUCUCUAAAAGCAAUAAAUUUCAAGCACAUUCUUA